rnacentral:tRNA from 1 species
GGGCUUAUAGCUCAGUUGGUAGAGCAGUUGACUCUUAAUCAAUUGGUCGAGGGUUCGAGCCCCUCUGAGCCCACCA